rnacentral:rRNA from 1 species
AGCGAACGUUUGCGGCGGGCUUAACACAUGCAAGUCGAACGGGAACGGGUUAUAGCUUGCUAUAAUUGUCAGCUAAGUGGCGCACGGGUGAGUAAUGUAUAGGUAAUAUGCCUCUUACUAAGGGAUAACAAAUGGAAACGUUUGCUAAUACCUUAUACUCCUUAUUAACUAAAGUUAGUAAGGGAAAGAUUUAUUGGUAAGAGAUUAGCCUGUAUUGUAUCAGUUAGUUGGUGGGGUAAUGGCCUACCAAGACUAUGACGCAUAACUGGUUUGAGAGGAUGAUCAGUCACACUGGAACUGAGACACGGUCCAGACUCCUACGGGAGGCAGCAGUGGGGAAUAUUGCACAAUGGACGAAAGUCUGAUGCAGCAACGCCGCGUGGAGGAUGACACAUUUCGGUGCGUAAACUCCUUUUAUAUAAGAAGAUAAUGACGGUAUUAUAUGAAUAAGCACCGGCUAACUCCGUGCCAGCAGCCGCGGUAAUGUCUAGCA